GGUAACGAGGGGCAAGGGGGGGGGUGAAUAGGGGUGGGGCCAGGGGUAAACGGAAUGACUUGGGGUAAAGCGGGCGCAGGCGGUUUGUUAAGCGAGAUGUGAAAGCCCUGGGCUCAACCUAGGAAUAGCAUUUCGAACUGGCGAACUAGAGUCUUGGAGAGGGGGGUAGAAUGCCAGGUGUAGCGAUGAAAUGCGUAGAGAUCUGGAGGAAUACCGGUGGCGAAGGCGGCCCCCUGGACAAAGACUGUCGCUCAUGCACGAAAGCGUGGGGAGCAAACAGGAUUAGAUACCCGAGUAGUC
rnacentral:rRNA from 1 species